AGCACUGACCCUGGGUCCUCACAGAAAGUACUCACGAGGAUUCUGAAAGGUCACUUGCUCUGGGGGCCAGCUGCCAUAUCAUAAAGACAUUCAAGCAACUCUUUGGGGAGAUCCACGUGAGGAGGAACUGAAUGCUCUUGCCAACAGUUAGCGUCAACCUGUCAGCCAUGGGAGUGAAUCGUCUUGGGAGUGGAUCCUGUGGCCCAGGAUGGCUAUGAAUGUGGCCCAACACAAAAGCAGAAAUUUACUUAAAACCUUUUUUUUUGUUCAUCAGUUUUCAUUAGUGUUUGUGUAUUUAAUGUGUGGCCCAAGACAAUUCUUCUUCUUCCAGUGUGGCCCACAGAUGCCACAGGCUGGACACCCCUACAACCCAAUCAAACCUUCAGAUACGGCAGCCUUGGCCCACAUCUUGACUGCAACCUCGUAAGAGAUCCUGAGCCAUAACCACUGGCUAAGCCGUUCUUAAACUUCCUGACCCACAGAAAACUGCGAGAGAAUACAUACUUACGUUGUUUUAAGCUGAUAUGUUUUGGAGUAAUUUGUUAUAUAAGAAUAGAUAACUAAAACAUUUAUAAACCA